rnacentral:rRNA from 1 species
AUUGAACGCUGGCGGCAUGCCUUACACAUGCAAGUCGAACGGCAGCACGGGUGCUUGCACCUGGUGGCGAGUGGCGAACGGGUGAGUAAUACAUCGGAACAUGUCCUGUAGUGGGGGAUAGCCCGGCGAAAGCCGGAUUAAUACCCAUACGAUCUACGGAUGAAAGCGGGGGACCUUCGGGCCUCGCGCUAUAGGGUUGGCCGAUGGCUGAUUAGCUAGUUGGUGGGGUAAAGGCCUACCAAGGCGACGAUCAGUAGCUGGUCUGAGAGGACGACCAGCCACACUGGGACUGAGACACGGCCCAGACUCCUACGGGAGGCAGCAGUGGGGAAUUUUGGACAAUGGGCGAAAGCCUGAUCCAGCAAUGCCGCGUGUGUGAAGAAGGCCUUCGGGUUGUAAAGCACUUUUGUCCGGAAAGAAAUCCUUGGCCCUAAUACGGUCGGGGGAUGACGGUACCGGAAGAAUAAGCACCGGCUAACUACGUG